rnacentral:rRNA from 1 species
AUUGAACGCUGGCGGCAUGCCUUACACAUGCAAGUCGAACGGCAGCACGGGACUCGGGCAACUGAGCCCUGGUGGCGAGUGGCGAACGGGUGAGUAAUGCAUCGGAACGUGCCCAGUAGUGGGGGAGUAACUAGUCGAAAGAAUUAGCUAAUACCGCAUACGACCUAUGGUGGAAAGACGGGGAGUUUCGGUCGAACCGAGAACCUCGCGCUAUCGGAGCGGCCGAUGUCNGAUUA